ACCCGCGUACAUGCCACCGGGGCAUCCCGGAGGCAGGAAAGGCUUCGGCCGGACAGGGAUGGGCAUGCGGCGCAUUAGGCAGUAGGCGGGGUAACGGCCCACCUAACCGACGAUGCGUAGGGGUUCUGAGAGGAAGGUCCCCCACACUGGUACUGAGACACGGACCAGACUCCUACGGGAGGCAGCAGUGAGGAAUAUUGGUCAAUGGUCGGGAGACUGAACCAGCCAAGCCGCGUGAGGGAUGAAGGUACAGAGUAUCGUAAACCUCUUUUGUCAGGGAACAAAGGCGGGGACGUGUCCCCGGAUGAGUGUACCUGAAGAAAAAGCAUCGGCUAACUCCGUGCCAGCAGCCGCGGUAAUACGGAGGAUGCGAGCGUUAUCCGGAUUUAUUGGGUUUAAAGGGUGCGCAGGCGGUCUGUUAAGUCAGCGGUCAAAGCCCGGGGCUCAACCCCGGCCCGCCGUUGAAACUGGCAGUCUCGAGUUGGAGAGAAGUAUGCGGAAUGCGCGGUGUAGCGGUGAAAUGCAUAGAUAUCGCGCAGAACUCCGAUUGCGAAGGCAGCAUGCCGGCUCCACACUGACGCUGAGGCACGAAAGCGUGGGUAUCGAACAGGAUUAGAUACCCUGGUAGUCCACGCAGUAAACGAC
rnacentral:rRNA from 1 species